ensembl:lncRNA LINC00412 long intergenic non-protein coding RNA 412
UAGUUAUGCAUACAUAUGUAGUUAAAGAAGUCAAGAAAUACAAGAGAAUGAAAAUCAAGUUGAGAAAAGCAGUCAUAUCUGAGGCUUCCUAAGAGAAGUGAUGCCCAAGACAUUAAAACAUGAAUGGGCGUUAGAUGAAGACAAAAGAGCAUUCCAUCGUAGAAGACAAUGUAGCAUGUGACGGUAAAGAUUUCCCAAGACCAAAAAGCUUAGGAGCACUGCCCCAUUCCACUGUUCUGCUGCUGGUUUUGCUUUGACUCUCCCAGAGGAAAACCGGGGUUGUCACUGGAAGUUCCUGAAGUAAUCUCCUUUUUUAGCAAACUUUUCAUUAUUACACUAUUUGGGUCAUGGUACAACUUUGCUGAAUUGCCUUGAACUGAAGUAUUGGAUUUUUACUUUAAUUUAUCCUGUGAUUAUGCUGAUUUUGCUUCACUGAUAUUCUGUCAUGUCCUUAGAUUUCUAAUGAAACUGCUCAGAAAUCAACCAGUGUUUCUGGUUGUCAAAUGAAAUAGGGGAGCAAUUAGACUUCUGUCUGGUGAGUAGAUUAAAAUAUUUCUGCUGA